CAGGUGAUCGCCGUUGAAAGACGGUUUCCUCUUCGGAGGCACCUGCACAGGUGCUGGCAUGGCUGUCGUCAGCUCGUGUCGUGAGAUGUUGGGUUAAGUCCCGCAACGAGCGCAACCCUUAUCCCAGUUGCCAUCAGGUAAAGCUGGGAACUCUGGGGAGACUGCCGGUGAUAAACCGGAGGAAGGCGGGGAUGACGUCAAGUCCUCAUGGCCCUUACAUCCCGGGCUACGCACGUGCUACAAUGGCAGGUACAGAGGGCUGCAAAGCCGCGAGGUAGAGCGAAUCCCAGAAAACCUGUCUCAGUCCGGAUUGAAGUCUGCAACUCGACUUCAUGAAGUCGGAAUCGCUAGUAAUCGCGGAUCAGCACGCCGCGGUGAAUACGUUCCCGGGCCUU
rnacentral:rRNA from 1 species